UUGUGAGGCUGAUGUGUAGGCAAAUCCGCACAUCGUUAAGGCUGGGCUGUGAUGGGGAGCGAAAAUUGCAGUAGCGAAGGUCAUGAGUUCAGGCUGCCAAGAAAAGCCUCUAGCCAGGUGAAGGUGCCCGUACCGCAAACCGACACAGGUAGGCGAGCAGAGUAUGCUAAGGCGCUCGGAAGAACUCUCGUUAAGGAACUCGGCAAAAUGACCCCGUAACUUCGGGAGAAGGGGUGCCUCGGUAGGGUGAAUAGCCCGAGGGGGCCGCAGUGAAAAGGCCCAAGCGACUGUUUAGCAAAAACACAGGUCUGUGCGAAGCCGUAAGGCGAAGUAUACGGGCUGACGCCUGCCCGGUGCUGGAAGGUUAAGGGGAGUGGUUAGCCGCAAGGCGAAGCUAUGAACCGAAGCCCCAGUAAACGGCGGCCGUAACCAUAACGGUCCUAAGGUAGCGAAAUUCCUUGUCAGGUAAAUUCUGACCCGCACGAAUGGCGUAACGACUUGGGCGCUGUCUCAACGAGAGAUCCGGUGAAAUUUUAAUACCUGUGAAGAUGCAGGUUACCCGCGACAAGACGGAAAGACCCCAUGGAGCUUUACUGCAGCUUGAUAUUGGACUUUGGUACGAUCUGUACAGGAUAGGUGGGAGCCUUGGAAACCGGAGCGCCAGCUUCGGCGGAGGCAUCGUUGGGAUACCACCCUGAUCGUAUCGGAGUUCUAACCUGGUACCGUGAUCCGGUACAGGGACCGUGUCAGGUGGGCAGUUUGACUGGGGCGGUCGCCUCCUAAAAUGUAACGGAGGCGCCCAAAGGUUCCCUCAGAAUGGUUGGAAAUCAUUCGUAGCGUGCAAAGGCAUAAGGGAGCUUGACUGCGAGACCUACAAGUCGAGCAGGGACGAAAGUCGGGCUUAGUGAUCCGGUGGUACCGCAUGGAAGGGCCAUCGCUCAACGGAUAAAAGCUACCCUGGGGAUAACAGGCUUAUCUCCCCCAAGAGUCCACAUCGACGGGGAGGUUUGGCACCUCGAUGUCGGCUCAUCGCAUCCUGGGGCUGAAGUAGGUCCCAAGGGUUGGGCUGUUCGCCUAUUAAAGCGGUACGCGAGCUGGGUUCAGAACGUCGUGAGACAGUUCGGUCCCUAUCUGUCGUGGGCGUAGGAAAUUUGAGAGGAGCUGUCCUUAGUACGAGAGGACCGGGAUGGACGCACCGCUGGUGUACCAGUUGUUCCGCCAGGAGCAUAGCUGGGUAGCUACGUGCGGACGGGAUAAGCGCUGAAAGCAUCUAAGCGUGAAGCCCCCCUCAAGAUGAGAUUUCCCAGUAUGUAAGACCCCUGGAAGACGACCAGGUUGAUAGGUUCGAGGUGGAAGCGCAGCAAUGCGUGGAGCUGACGAAUACUAAUCGGUCGAGGGCUUAUCC
rnacentral:rRNA from 1 species